AUUUUGGAUGGCUGGUUGGUUGGAUUUUUUUGUUCAGUUUAAUUUUUAGGAAAAUGUAGGAUUUCUUUAAUUUCUUCCUCGGAAUUAAUCUAGAAAUGGAGAUAAUUGACAAAUGGGGAGUAUGUUUGCUUUUCCUUCCUUGUUUGAAACAGACUGCAUCUCCAUUACUCAAAUUCAUGACUGUAUCAAUCUUAUUGAAGAUCUAACCACUAUGCUGUACUAGAAUGCUCUUCUUGUUCUUGUUUUUUCAGAGGGAAAGUAUCACCUGACCUUUUUUUCCCAUCCAUCCAUAUCUCAGCAUGAAGCCUCAGCAAAUCCCCAGUUUUACUCUCCAAAGAAGGACUGUAUCUUCAAUAAUGGUCUCCAUUCUGGAUUGACGAGACUUCUGAAUACUUGUGCAUGAAAACCAUUGGCCUAACAUUCCAAGAUAACAGGAGAGCCAAAUUCUAGUGUCUAUACGUGAUAGUGAGGAUUCAACCCUGGAAUCCUUUUGAAAGUUUCAGAGGCUGUUAGCCAAGGAUGUACGUGGCUACCCACCUGGGAGUGCUACACAGCGCCACAAUGCACUGCCUUCAAAGAGUGGAAAAAUAAUGCUCUAAUAAAACAGACAAAGCCCCACCACACCAGCUAUGGGGAAGCAUGUCUUUGAGGACCUAGCACAGCUUUAAACUGCACUGGAUACAAUUUGGACAGUAGGAGAUAAGACACGGGCAUGGGACUAUUUUUGUUCAAUGUUCAUUGCUGCAUGACUCAGCAGAGCACUAAGAGUUGCCACCAAAGAAGAAAGGCUGCAUUGGACUGUACUAGGCUUGUCCGAAACAACUCUGAGUGAAAGCUCAGUGCUUUUUUUGCUGUAUGUAUCAUUAACUUGGAUUUGUUAAUCAGAAAAUAAUUAGGAGAAAAAGAGCAGGUUUGGUUUCCAUUCCUUCUGAAUAAGAAGAGACUGGCCACUUAGUAAGGGAAGGAGUAAGAAUCCUCUUCUAAGUGCAGUCAAAAACCUUGAGCUGUCUUUUGAUCCUGAUUUUCCAGGCCACACGAAUAGGUUCUUCUGCAAAUUAUUUUUUUUAGGAGCACUGACAGAGGCUACAAAUAAGUGUAAACACGUAGCUAAAGAAGUGUGUUGACUAGGCCUGUGUUUUAAAAGUUUCACUGAUCUUAUGGAUGAACAUGACCAAAAAUCU